UUCACAUAUAAGUUAUUGAAGAGAGCUAGAAGGAGAUUAAUGGACCGUGUACUGUACAUUUGUUCAUAAAUCUGAUCCAAUUACAGAUCAUGCUGGUCUACCAGUGAGAGUCCCAUCCAUGGCUGGAGAGAUGAGGACAGUAGUCCUUAUCCUAAGCUUCCUCCCAAGUAAGGCUAACCAAGGACCUUAUUAGUCUAUGGUUAUAAGACUUCUUAAUUUUACCGGAUAAGCAGCAGAGCCUUUGUGAGAGCAUCUGGAUAUCAUUAUUGGCCACCUUG